AGAGUUUGAUCCUGGCUCAGGAUGAACGCUAGCGGCAGGCCUAAUACAUGCAAGUCGGACGGUAAGGCCCCCUUCGGGGGGCCGAGAGUGGCGCACGGGUGCGUAACGCGUAUGCAACAACCCCCCGCUGCGGGACAGCCGGUGGAAACGCCGGGUAAUACCGCACGCGGUCGGAGAGAGGCAUCUCUUUCCGAUGAAAGACUCAUCGGCGGGGGACGGGCAUGCGUGCCAUUAGCUGGUUGGCGGGGCGACGGCCCACCAAGGCGACGAUGGCUAGGGGAUCUGAGAGGACGGUCCCCCACACUGGUACUGAGACACGGACCAGACUCCUACGGGAGGCAGCAGUAAGGAAUAUUGGGCAAUGGGGGGAACCCUGACCCAGCCAUGCCGCGUGAGGGAAGAAGGCCCUACGGGUUGUAAACCUCUUUUGCCGGGGGACAAGGCGGUGCGUGCGCGCGCCGUUGCGGUUACCCGGAGAAUAAGCAUCGGCUAACUCCGUGCC
rnacentral:rRNA from 1 species